GGUUAAGCGACUAAGCGUACACGGUGGAUGCCCUGGCAGUCAGAGGCGAUGAAGGACGUGAUAAUCUGCGAUAAGCGUCGGUGAGGUGAUAUGAACCGUUAUAACCGGCGAUUUCCGAAUGGGGAAACUCAGUGUGUUUCGACACACUAUCAUUAACUGAAUCCAUAGGUUAAUGAGGCGAACCGGGGGAACUGAAACAUCUAAGUACCCCGAGGAAAAGAAAUCAACCGAGAUUCCCCCAGUAGCGGCGAGCGAACGGGGAGGAGCCCAGAGCCUGAAUCAGUGUGUGUGUUAGUGGAAGCGUCUGGAAAGGCGCGCGAUACAGGGUGACAGCCCCGUACACAAAAAUGCACAUAUUGUGAGCUCGAUGAGUAGGGCGGGACACGUGGUAUCCUGUCUGAAUAUGGGGGGACCAUCCUCCAAGGCUAAAUACUCCUGACUGACCGAUAGUGAACCAGUACCGUGAGGGAAAGGCGAAAAGAACCCCGGCGAGGGGAGUGAAAAAGAACCUGAAACCGUGUACGUACAAGCAGUGGGAGCCUCUUAAUGGGGUGACUGCGUACCUUUUGUAUAAUGGGUCAGCGACUUAUAUUCUGUAGCAAGGUUAACCGAAUAGGGGAGCCGAAGGGAAACCGAGUCUUAACUGGGCGUUAAGUUGCAGGGUAUAGACCCGAAACCCGGUGAUCUAGCCAUGGGCAGGUUGAAGGUUGGGUAACACUAACUGGAGGACCGAACCGACUAAUGUUGAAAAAUUAGCGGAUGACUUGUGGCUGGGGGUGAAAGGCCAAUCAAACCGGGAGAUAGCUGGUUCUCCCCGAAAGCUAUUUAGGUAGCGCCUCGUGAAUUCAUCUCCGGGGGUAGAGCACUGUUUCGGCAAGGGGGUCAUCCCGACUUACCAACCCGAUGCAAACUGCGAAUACCGGAGAAUGUUAUCACGGGAGACACACGGCGGGUGCUAACGUCCGUCGUGAAGAGGGAAACAACCCAGACCGCCAGCUAAGGUCCCAAAGUCAUGGUUAAGUGGGAAACGAUGUGGGAAGGCCCAGACAGCCAGGAUGUUGGCUUAGAAGCAGCCAUCAUUUAAAGAAAGCGUAAUAGCUCACUGGUCGAGUCGGCCUGCGCGGAAGAUGUAACGGGGCUAAACCAUGCACCGAAGCUGCGGCAGCGACACUAUGUGUUGUUGGGUAGGGGAGCGUUCUGUAAGCCUGUGAAGGUGGCCUGUGAGGGUUGCUGGAGGUAUCAGAAGUGCGAAUGCUGACAUAAGUAACGAUAAAGCGGGUGAAAAGCCCGCUCGCCGGAAGACCAAGGGUUCCUGUCCAACGUUAAUCGGGGCAGGGUGAGUCGACCCCUAAGGCGAGGCCGAAAGGCGUAGUCGAUGGGAAACAGGUUAAUAUUCCUGUACUUGGUGUUACUGCGAAGGGGGGACGGAGAAGGCUAUGUUGGCCGGGCGACGGUUGUCCCGGUUUAAGCGUGUAGGCUGGUUUUCCAGGCAAAUCCGGAAAACCAAGGCUGAGGCGUGAUGACGAGGCACUACGGUGCUGAAGCGACAAAUGCCCUGCUUCCAGGAAAAGCCUCUAAGCAUCAGGUAACAUCAAAUCGUACCCCAAACCGACACAGGUGGUCAGGUAGAGAAUACCAAGGCGCUUGAGAGAACUCGGGUGAAGGAACUAGGCAAAAUGGUGCCGUAACUUCGGGAGAAGGCACGCUGAUAUGUAGGUGAAGCGACUUGCUCGUGGAGCUGAAAUCAGUCGAAGAUACCAGCUGGCUGCAACUGUUUAUUAAAAACACAGCACUGUGCAAACACGAAAGUGGACGUAUACGGUGUGACGCCUGCCCGGUGCCGGAAGGUUAAUUGAUGGGGUUAGCGGUAACGCGAAGCUCUUGAUCGAAGCCCCGGUAAACGGCGGCCGUAACUAUAACGGUCCUAAGGUAGCGAAAUUCCUUGUCGGGUAAGUUCCGACCUGCACGAAUGGCGUAAUGAUGGCCAGGCUGUCUCCACCCGAGACUCAGUGAAAUUGAACUCGCUGUGAAGAUGCAGUGUACCCGCGGCAAGACGGAAAGACCCCGUGAACCUUUACUAUAGCUUGACACUGAACAUUGAGCCUUGAUGUGUAGGAUAGGUGGGAGGCUUUGAAGUGUGGACGCCAGUCUGCAUGGAGCCGACCUUGAAAUACCACCCUUUAAUGUUUGAUGUUCUAACGUUGGCCCGUAAUCCGGGUUGCGGACAGUGUCUGGUGGGUAGUUUGACUGGGGCGGUCUCCUCCUAAAGAGUAACGGAGGAGCACGAAGGUUGGCUAAUCCUGGUCGGACAUCAGGAGGUUAGUGCAAUGGCAUAAGCCAGCUUGACUGCGAGCGUGACGGCGCGAGCAGGUGCGAAAGCAGGUCAUAGUGAUCCGGUGGUUCUGAAUGGAAGGGCCAUCGCUCAACGGAUAAAAGGUACUCCGGGGAUAACAGGCUGAUACCGCCCAAGAGUUCAUAUCGACGGCGGUGUUUGGCACCUCGAUGUCGGCUCAUCACAUCCUGGGGCUGAAGUAGGUCCCAAGGGUAUGGCUGUUCGCCAUUUAAAGUGGUACGCGAGCUGGGUUUAGAACGUCGUGAGACAGUUCGGUCCCUAUCUGCCGUGGGCGCUGGAGAACUGAGGGGGGCUGCUCCUAGUACGAGAGGACCGGAGUGGACGCAUCACUGGUGUUCGGGUUGUCAUGCCAAUGGCACUGCCCGGUAGCUAAAUGCGGAAGAGAUAAGUGCUGAAAGCAUCUAAGCACGAAACUUGCCCCGAGAUGAGUUCUCCCUGAGACUUAGAGUCUCCUGAAGGAACGUUGAAGACGACGACGUUGAUAGGCCGGGUGUGUAAGCGCAGCGAUGCGUUGAGCUAACCGGUACUAAUGAACCGUGAGGCUUAACCUUAC
rnacentral:rRNA from 1 species